AGGCUCUAUGCAGGGAGCCCCAUGUGGGACUCGAUCCCAGGACUCUAGAUCACACCCCAGGCCAAAGGCAGACACUUAAGGGCAGAGCCACCCAGGGAUCCCCAAAGACGGCUGUUGAAACACGAGUGUACUUUGAGAGGAUGCAGCUCCGUGAGCAUCCGUGGCUGAUAAUUUGGUGUGGGAGACAGCACAGCCCAGCAGCUGUCCCAGCUCUGCCCGUUCCCAUACGUGUGGCCAAGAGCAAGUGCCGUCACCUGCUCUGCUGCCCCUGUAAAUGGGAGGUAAUAAGCUGUACUCACCUCAUGGCAUUACACAAGGAUCAAGUGAGUUAAUAUUUGCAAAGGGCUCAGCGCAGAGCCUGGGAAAUGGAAAGCCCGAUGUGUUUGCUGUUCUCUCGGUCAUCUGAGAGGCCGGGGUGGCAGGUGACAGGGAACACAGUGUGGUGGUGUGGGCAGCGGGGGCCAAGCCACCAUCCUGAGCGUGCCAGGACCUCUUUGCACUCUCAGCAGUGUUGAGGACCCAAGGGACAGUUGUUCCUGGGGAUUACACCUGUUGAUAUUUUUUCCGCAUUAGAAAUGACUGAUUAGAACUCUCCUGUACUGGAAAAUAAAACCGAGAACAUUUAACAAUAUUUAGUAAUUCAUUUAAAAAUAAUGAUAUUAUUAUUCAUUUAAAAAUGAGGAUGAUAUGUCCUUUCUGUUUUCAUGUGAACAUUUUACGGGAAAUAGCUAUAUUUACAUUUCUGUCAAGCUCUUUCAAUCUCCCGAGCUCGGGAGCCCACGUCCUCAGCCCACUGCCUUUUGCCCCCAGGCCGACCUAACUGCACACCUGCACCUCUGGCCAGGUCUCCUAAGGGCCCUGGCGGUGACGGCAGAGACAGCUUCCUAUGCCACGUUCACCCAUGCAUCCGGCCCUGGGUCCUGCACCUGGUGCUGGGUCCCGCAUCUGGUGCCCGUGGCCAAAGACUAAACGCUGCAGAGAGUUUAUUGCCUCAUCACCCCUAGACACAGUCCAGCCAUCUGAGAACACCAGGACCUCACCCUGGUCAGUCCUUUGGCAGGCCAGGAGAUGUCCCUGUCGUGUCCCUGCCAAUGCAGGGCCAGAGGCCAUGGGAGCCACAGGCUUCAGAUCCGUGAGUGCAGCACAGCUCACCCCAGGGCCUGCCGCGGCGCCCGGAGCAUCAGCCGGGCUGCUCUGAAGAAACAGAGCUCAGAGGAGAUAUAAACAUAGACAUGUGUGCAUGGUGGAGUGUGGGCUCAUGUGACGGCGGAGGCUGGCAAGUCCCAGGAGUUGCACUGUGUGGGCAGCCCAGGUGGCUCAGCGGUUUAACACAGCCUUCAGCCCGGGGUGUGUUCCUAGAGUCUCGGGAUCGAGUCCCAUGUCGGGCUCCCUGCAGGUAGCCUGCUUCUCCCUCUGCCUGUGUCUCUGCCUCUCUCUGUGUGUCUCUCAUGAAUAAAUAAAUAAAAUCUUUAAAAAAAUAAAAAAGGAGCUGCACUGUGCAAGCUGAGAGCCAGGGGAACCACCGGGUAAGAUGUCCCAGGCCGACGUCCCAGUUCGGAAACAGGCAGAGGGCAGAUGCUCCCCCACCCGCUCUGUUCCAUCCACACCUCCCGCUGAUCGGUGAGGCCCACCUGCCCCAGGGGGAAGGCAACCUGCUUUUCUCAGUGUGCAGAUUCAGACGCUCAUCUCGUCCUGAAACACCCUUGUGGAGGACACCCGGAGCACUGUCUGACCAAACAUCUGGGCACCUGAGGCUUGGCCACGUGAUGCGUGAAGUUGACUGCCACACCUGCUGAAGGCUAUCCAGGUGCUGCCAUUCAUUGACCUGAGGCAAACGGCCUGUGCCGUCCUUCUGACUACAUGACGAUGGAGCCAUCAAGGUCGGGGUGAGGGACCUGGACACCACGCAGGGCAGCACAGCCCAGGGGGAGCCUCAUCCCGGGUCACCCUGGGUCAUCCUGGGUCACCCCGGAGUCCUGGCCCAUGAUACCCAUUUGCUUCUCCAGAAGCCUUGAUUACAGGCUGGAAGUGUGAAUAAAGUCUAAGCAGAUACCAGUGUCAGUGGAGAUAAACAUCAAGCUUUAUUGACUUAAGAGGUAAAUAUUGAUGGAACUUAAAUACCAAAUCAAUAUUUACCUCAAGGGACAAUACAGCCUGAAAUUGAAGUUGGGCCAUGUGUGCUCUUCCAGCACUUUAACUGCAGACUCCCGACGUCUUCAUCAGGAGCGAUGUGGUGAGAGAUUCCUUGAGGCACCAGCAGUGAGGGCUGGCCCUGGGUCCCCACUCACCAGAAAGAGUCAGAAUUCGAAACCUGCACCACCCAUGCAGAGCAAACCAGGAAACUCAUGGCUUAGGCUUUUCGCUGAGAGUCCACCUGAGGGAAGGUAGAAGCUAGAACGGCACCGAGGCUGCACCUGCCAGCCAGGGCCGGCCGGCGACAGCGGGCUGCAUGUGCUGUGCACCGCGAGGCGAGCAAGGCGCUGCCCCAGGCCUUGGCACGUGUGUCUCUCUCGGUGGCCCGGUGCGCUGGGGGGCCUGAGGUGCUGCCGCGUGUCACACCUGCCCCCCCACCCCAGCUCCUCAGCCACAGCGAAGCAGCGUCAGCUGGGAUCACAGCAGUGCUGAUGUCCGCUCAGAAAGAGAAGCUGUGGACGGCGUAGGGGCUUGAGAAGAGAUGCUCGGGAAAGAGAAGUAAACUGAAUCUGCGGUCCCGUGCACAAAGUCCCCACUGUGACGGGAAGAGGCUGACGCUGUCACCGCCGGCCCCGCUCCAUCCCCACCUGCCUGGGGCAGACCCGAGCCCGAAGCUCCGAGCCCCAGGGCACCGCUCUCAAGGCCACACAUGGUUUCUGGCUGUAGGUCCAGCACAUCGGCCACCAGAGGGGCUGCAUUAGUUGGCCUAGGAUGACCACAGGAUGCUGCAGGCACACCCCCCCGCUGUGAGCCUGCUCCCAUAGGUGCACCUCCUGGAGCCCUUACAGUGUCAGUGAAGCCCCAGUACACAGGGGGUGCUCUGUGACCCAAGACUGCGCCUGCCAUCCUGACAGAUGUGGCCUUGCCCCAGAGGCCACACCGUGCACAUUUCUGGUUCGCCCAUGACUGGGUCACAUCCCAAGUCUCCAGCCACGCUCCGAGCUCUCCAACGUCUGUGUGCAGCAGGUGCCCUCAGAGCUGCCGCAUUCGGGCCCAGGACCCCCACCUACUGGGUCAGCGUCGCCAGUGUGCAGCCUGGCCUUGGUAUUGCUCUCGUCGCCGUGUGUCGGGCUCCCAGACAGGAGGCCUCCCAAAGCUUCAGGCGGCCCGCCUCCCGGUCUGGGACUUCGGCCUGCUGUGCUGGGCUUCCGUGCCCCUGAGACUCUCACUUCCCCUCCAUUCUUUUUUUUAAAAAAAGGGGGUCCAGGGGCACCUGGGUGGGUCCAUCGGUUGAGUGUCUGACUCUUGAUCUCAAUUCAGGUCGUGAUCUCAGGACCAUGAGUUCUAUCCCCAUGCUGGACUCCUGGUUGGUUAUAGAGCCUACUCAAAAAAAUAAAUACAUAAAAAUUAAAAAAAAAGAGUCUGUGUCAUAAAGGAAUAAAUCCCAUCAUACAAAGAUGCACACAGUACAGGUACACCUAGGAUAAAGUGAAUCCUUCCUCCUCUGCUCCCCUCCUGGAAGUCAGCCUCAUAUGGCCAUGGCCAACCAUGGCCAAUUUGCUGUGAGGACGCAUGCAUGCAGAAAUACAGCUAAACAAAUGGUUAUUACAGUUUCUUCAACUUUACGUAAAAGGCUUGUGCUACGCACGCUGACCUAUGACUUGUCUGUUGAAUGGGACAAGACAACAGGGGUAAAACAGACCAACUGGGAUCUCGCCCAUGGCUGGACAGGGUCAGUGGCUGCAGCUCUCAAGCUUGGUCUCAGAACCCCCACGCACUCUUAAAAAUCACGGAGGACCCCAGAGAGUUUUCAUUGAGCUGGAUUACAUCUGCCGACAUUUACCACAGCAGAAAUUAAAACCAAGAAAUUAAGAUAAACGAACUCACUUUAAAAUAAAAAUAAACCCAUCACAGGUUAAUAUAUGUAACAUGUUUGUACGAAAAAUAACUAUUCCCAAACAGAGGCUUUUAUCAAGAAGACUGGCACUGCCUUAUACGGCGGUUGACGGCUGGAUCCUCCUGUCUGCAUCUGCCUGCUGCCCGCGGCAAUAUCCUGUAGCCACUGGAAAUGAGGCAGAAAAGGGGAAAUACCAUGUUCCUGUUAUGAAAAUAGCUUUGAGCUCCUGGCUCCCCCGCCCCGGGAGAACCUCGAAGCCCCCCGGGGCCCUGGACCUCGCCACCGCGAUGGCUUUCUGCAUAAGAAUGUCACGCGUGUUCCUAAGUAUCUGUCUCUGUCGCUGAGCGUCACUGACUCUGAUUUCGGAGCUCCCACCACGUCCCGGACAUUCCACAGAGCUGGGGAACAGCCAGGCUCCAAGGUGGCAUCCAGAGAUUCUCAGCCCUUGGUCUCCUGCCUCUUGGGUGGGUUCCUGUCACAUCAACCAGAGCUGGUCUCCUCAAGCAAUGGAAGAGAUGGCAGAGAUGAUGGUGCCUAAGGGAUCUUCCUCCCAUUUGAACUCCACAGGGCUCAUGGUCCACCCUGGUGAGAGACUGGGCCCUGGGGGAGCUCCCUCAACCAUCCUGCACAACCUCUCCAGGGCUCUUGCAGAGUUAGAAGAACAUAGGAUUUGGAAUAAAACAUCCAGUUUCCAAACCCAGCUCUUUGUGAUACUGAGUUAUGUGGCUUCUCUAAAUCCCAUCUAUAAAAUGAGUUUAAUGAUAUCCCUGGCACUCCUCUUCCACACAUCAGAGGCUUGGUCAGAGAAGCCAACACAACGUGGAAACAUGCUGCAAGGAGCUGUGCCAGAGUCAGAAGGUACUGCUGUGUGCCCUCGGUCACCUCUGCGAUUCUCAUCUGACUUGCAGCUAACCUGAGCACUUUGUGAGCGACAAGAAGGCAGGGAGUCUUCCCUGUGAGCAUGGUCUAGGCAGACUGACCUACGUUGCUUGGACCCCAAGUCCAGAACUUCACAUUUGUCCCUAUACACUCCCACCUUGGUGGUCCUAGCCUUAUUUUUAGGAUCUCUUCAAGAGCUGUCCAACUUGAAAAUGUCAUUAACUUUGCUCCCAAGUCUUUGUCCAGGUUAUUGAUGUAAUUCUGGCACAGGACAGAGUUCUGAGCAACAGAGUCCUCCCUCUGGGUUGACAGCUGUCACUCACCUCAGCUGAUUAUUCCCACUUGGGUUGUGAUUAUUCAGCCCAUUAUAAGCCAGCCUAACUGAUUCCAGAGCCUUCUGCACUCUGCUGCCAGCCUGCCUCACCAGGUCACUCCUAUAACUGUGAUACUCCCUGAGUGUGUAGCCUGGGGUUACUUAAGGUGUGAUGAGAGUGUGAAGAAAUGCGUCAGUAACAGGUAAGGCAUGGACUCCCGCUUUCUCAACCUCAGCCUUGGCCCUGCAGGCACUGGGGGCUGGGCUGCUCCCUGCGGGGGGGCCAGCCCGUGCACUGAAUAUUUGGUGGCUCCCAGGUCCCUCCCCCAGUUGUGACAACCCAAAGCAUCCCCUGACCUGGCCGCGCGUCCCAGGGUGACAUGAUUGCCCCGGAUCGGAACCAUGGACACAAAAAUGCUGGCAUAGUGUUAGUGUCACUGUUUGUUGUGAACCCACGGUAUGCAGAGGUGGUGCGUGGUUCACCCUCCACCUCCAGGGAUCGUGAAUAUGACCGUGCCCGUGUUUCCACGCUUCCCACUGGGCCUUUGUGACUCGUCGAACAUCUUGCUAAGUUCCAGCAGCUGCCUCCGCGAGGCUGCAUGACCUUGCCAGUGCUGACCUAUCAGAGCAGAAAUGGGGGGCGGCUGUGGGCGAGACACUGGGCGUGAACUUGCCCCAAUGCCAUUGCACUGCCCACAGACCCGUGAGUCCUCAGCCCCGGGACCAUGCAGAAUGGACUCGGAAGCAAAGAAAAUCACUUGGCUCUUGCACCCCCACCUCUGGGCCGUGUUUAUUUCUCCAGGGAAAGUGGAGACGGCCCUCCAACCGUUUCUGGUGGAGGAUGGUGCAGGCAAACCAGCCAAGCUCUCUGAAGCUGGGUUCCUGCGCUGCUAAGCACCGGCCUCUCCCGGCGCUGAGGGCGGCGUGGUGGAUGCGGGGGCCACUGCAGCUCUGCGUUCAGCUGGGGGGUGGCCAGGCCACCGAGGGCCACGCAGUGGGCAGGAGCCCGGGGAGUGAGCAGGGGCGAGGUGACAGGCUCCCUGCGGGAUGGUUGGCUCCAAACCUCCCCUUUACUAGUCUGUUCUUGCCCAGCUGGGAGCUUUGCUGUGGGCACAGG